rnacentral:rRNA from 1 species
UACGAGGGGUGCAAGCGUUGCUCGGAAUUAUUGGGCGUAAAGGGCUCGUAGGCGGUCUGUUGCGUCGGGAGUGAAAACUCAGGGCUUAACCCUGAGCCUGCUUCCGAUACGGGCAGACUAGAGGUAUGCAGGGGAGAACGGAAUUCCUGGUGUAGCGGUGAAAUGCGCAGAUAUCAGGAGGAACACCGGUGGCGAAGGCGGUUCUCUGGGCAUUACCUGACGCUGAGGAGCGAAAGUGUGGGGAGCGAACAGG